GGAUGUUGGCUUAGAAGCAGCCAUCAUUUAAAGAGUGCGUAAUAGCUCACUAGUCGAGUGGCGCUGCGCCGAAAAUUUACCGGGGCUAAGCAUAGUACCGAAACUGUGGAUGCAUCGAAAGAUGCGUGGUAGGAGAGCGUUCUAAGUGCGGCGAAGGUUAACCGAGAGGAUAAUUGGAGCGCUUAGAAGUGAGAAUGCCGGUAUGAGUAGCGAAAGACAGGUGAGAAUCCUGUCCGCCGAAAGACUAAGGUUUCCUGGGGCAGGCUCGUCCGCCCAGGGUAAGUCGGGACCUAAGGCAAGGCCGAGAGGCGUAGUCGAUGGAUAACAGGUAGAAAUUCCUGUACUGUGUUUAAUCGUUAUGAGCGAUGGAGGGACGCAGGAGGUGAAACACGCAUCGAGCUGGAUCGAUGUUCAAGCAACAAGUGCGGUUAAGAGUCAAAUGCUUCUAACCAGCAACACGAGUUGUGAUGAGUAGCGAAGUAAUAGUAGCGAAGGUGAUGUAAUCACACUGCCAAGAAAAGCUUCUAGCCAGAGAGGACACACCCGUACCGCAAACCGACACAGGUAGUCGAGUGGAGAACACUAAGGUGAGCGAGAGAACUCUCGUUAAGGAACUCGGCAAAAUGACCCCGUAACUUCGGAAGAAGGGGUGCUGGCCACGAGAGUGGUUAGCCGCAGUGAAUAGGCCCAAACAACUGUUUAUCAAAAACACAGGUCUCUGCAAAAUCGUAAGAUGACGUAUAGAGGCUGACACCUGCCCGGUGCUGGAAGGUUAAGAGGAGAGCUUAGCGAAAGCGAAGGUUCGAAUUGAAGCCCCAGUAAACGGCGGCCGUAACUAUAACGGUCCUAAGGUAGCGAAAUUCCUUGUCGGGUAAGUUCCGACCUGCACGAAUGGCGUAAUGAUUUGGGCACUGUCUCAACGAGAGACUCGGUGAAAUUAUAAUACCCGUGAAGAUGCGGGUUACCCGCGACAGGACGGAAAGACCCCAUGGAGCUUCACUGUAGCUUGAUAU
rnacentral:rRNA from 1 species